AGUGAACGCUGGCGGUAGGCCUAACACAUGCAAGUCGAACGGCAGCACAGUAAGAGCUUGCUCUUACGGGUGGCGAGUGGCGGACGGGUGAGGAAUACAUCGGAAUCUACUUUUUCGUGGGGGAUAACAUAGGGAAACUUACGCUAAUACCGCAUACGACCUACGGGUGAAAGCAGGGGAUCUUCGGACCUCGCGCGAUUGAAUGAGCCGAUGUCGGAUUAGCUAGUUGGCGGGGUAAAGGCCCACCAAGGCGACGAUCCGUAGCUGGUCUGAGAGGAUGAUCAGCCACACUGGAACUGAGGCACGGUCCAGACUCCUACGGGAGGCAGCAGUGGGGAAUAUUGGACAAUGGGCGCAAGCCUGAUCCAGCCAUACCGCGUGGGUGAAGAAGGCCUUCGGGUUGUAAAGCCCUUUUGUUGGGAAAGAAAAGCAGCAGGUUAAUACCCCGCUGUUCUGACGGUACCCAAAGAAUAAGCACCGGCUAACUUCGUG
rnacentral:rRNA from 1 species